GCGGGGGCGGGGGGGGUAAUGUCAUCUAAUCGGGGGUCGUUCACAAUCACAUUGCUUUAACUCGCUAUGAUAUUAUGUCAUUUGUUAGGGAGUCCUCAACUCUCCCGUCGUAAAUAAUUGAGAGUUUAUCCCCGUCGUCCUCCUCCUCCACCUCCUCGUCACCGUCAGAUCAGGCUGUCAUGCAGCAUCCUUGGUACGUGCUCAGCCACACUCGGCUAAUGGCAACACUGUACACAAGCGAGUCGAGUUCAACCACUUCACAUCGUAGGGGUAGGGGCGUCUUUUAUCAAACUAGCCUAAAGUACAGAUAUGCCACCUCCAAUGGCAGCUGUCGCAUCACAUGAUGUCUAUUUAAGGGCAAAGAAACCUGUUCGGCGUUGAUGCUCGCAAUAAAUAAUCGAGCAGGGCAGGAAACUGUUAACAACAUAAUGGUUCAUUCCUAAUGUACGACGUGCAAAACUGAACGCGCCGCACCCCAACUAUAACAGGAGAACUCAUCCGAACGGUGCUCUUCUAAAACCCCGCCUCUCCCAGGCUGUGAUUGGUCAAUUAUCCGUAAAAGGUGGGCCAUUCAACCCCAGCGCGGGAGCCCGUUGGCUGAGCGUGAUGUCAACUUCUUCCUAAUUUGAAUAACCAGGUCGGGUUGCAGAUGCAGAGGAGUGGGCAGGGUAGGGGUAGUGCAAGUGAAUUGAACUUCUGCGUCGGUGUAGGCUACACUAUAUUCUUAAAUGCACCCAACUUUAAUCAUGCUCUGAGAUUUAUAAUAGAGGAAAAAACUAGCUGGAUGUUCGGAUUAUGAGCAGACUGGGACGUAGGGGGAAAACUUCAAGAUUUUUCCUAAAAACAUAUUCCAAAAAGAAAACUUGGGACUGAUUGUGCGCGCUUUGAGGCCAAAAUCUGCAGUCUAAAAGCAGGUAAGCCACUGACUAACGCACAUUGUGCCAGUUUCCAGUUCCACUGUGCGUGUGACAGCGGCUAACCUGGUUUUGGGAACACCUCUCAUAUUUUUGACUCGUCUGAGACCCAGCCAGAGCCGGAUUAGACAGACACCUGUUUACAAGCAGCCCUUGAUCGUGGCCCCGUGAGCACAUAAAUGCUCUCCCAGUGGUCUCCAUGUGUACCGUAACCUACUUCCUACUAUGUUCACACAGUACCUUAUUUAGGACCGUGUGGCGUUUGCACUCCCUCCUCUUUAAUGCCAUCAUUUGAGACUCCUGGUGAGUGUUUCGUUUCUGUUUCAUCUGUUGGGUUUGGAUCAUGUUCACGUUCGCCAGUUACCAAUUUGAGGUCAGGGGGCCUCCAGAGGGUUCUUCCAAGAGGUUCCUUUGGGCCCAUAAGGAAUAGAUGAACAGUGCUAUAAAGAAACUCGGUUUCAGGACAGAAUGGAUAAUAUUAUGCAAUAUUAUGAUAAUAUUAUGCACAGUAAUCAGACUAUAACCAUAUAUAGAAUAACUAUAUUCUAUAUAGUGACACAACCUUACCGUGUAAGAAAAUACAUACGGAUUGCAGCAAUACAGUAUGUACAAUGUAUGCUUGUAAGUAACCAAAGUAAAGUUUCUGCUCAAAUCAACUGUCUGUGUGUUGUGCCCUGUAGUGCAUUUCUUGGUGUGAGGAUGUUUUAUCCCCAUCAGUGCAUAAUGACUCACAGUGACACAAAGGAAUAGAUAAGUGCAGUAUGUCAGACUCAUUAACUCAUGGCCUCAUUCAUCAUCAUAACGUGUGGACGUGCAGAUGCUCACUCCCAUUCCAAGGAGGUUCUUUCCCAGGCAACCAGUGCCCGAUGCACAUGGUGAGCUGAUGAGUUUUUAUAUCUGAAAGCAAUCAAAUUUUAAGCUUUGCAGCACCUUUUAUGCGCAUUUGUUUGAUGAGAAAAGAUUUUGUCAGCACGUCGUCCUAAAACAUAGUCGUAAUCUGUUAAUGUGCCCUUAUGAGAUUGGAGCCCUCAGGGUUUAGAUAUGAAAUGGGUGGAUGCCUCAUUUUGCACGUGGGAUGUCUGGGGUGUGGGAACAUUCGUAACAUUAUCCUGUGAUAAUCUUUUUUUAAAAAGAAAGAAAAAAGUGAAGGGUCCUCAAGUAACAACUUUUCUUUUUUACAUAAUUUGAAGAGAUCAGAAUAUUACUGUUAAUAUAGUGAAAGGAAACUAUAAAGGUUCCUUUAGGAAAAGGGCACAUUUUGUAAUUCCUCCUAUGUCCACAGGUUGGCGUCAGUGUCACAUGAGGCUUGUGCUUGUCCAGACACCGGGACCUAAACAAGGAUUUGAAGCUUAUCUAACCCUUACAAAGCCAGACAGCUCUAAAUCUUCUCAGGAUAAUCCAGUUCCACAUAAUUGAUCAUAAUAUCAAAACUGGCAGUCUCAUCUAAUUUUCCAUAAUUCACAAGUCAUUAAAAUUGGCACAAAGCAGAAAAGGCAGAUGAAAAAAAAAUACAUCAAUGUUUUUGAUGGAUGGACACAGUUUCUAAUAGACACACCUAAAUGGACAGACAGAAGAAAAAUAUUUACUCUCCCUGUAAUUAUACCUGCUGAGUAUCAGUACAUGAGAGUAUUUAUAGACGUCCACAGGGUUUCAGGUGGGGGUUAGCCGGAGAGAGAGGAAGGCUCGCGUCACUCAGUGUGUGACAGCCAGAAUAUUUACCCUCCAGAGUAAACAAAACAGGAAAGGGGUGGAGCACAAAUGUGUCGUGCCUUUUUGCACAGGGUGAUUCUUAUUACAAAUUACAUAACAAUCAAACUACAAAUUGCAUAAUAAUUUAGCACGUCUGUAAUUUAACGACACAAGACACUCGAUGCACCUGACCUUGUUGUAGUGAAGCAAUGGCAUCUCCUCUAGUGGAAAGAAAAGAAAAGCCACUGAUUAAACUGACAUCAUCAGUGUCAAAGGAACGCCAACAUUAUUUACAGCUAAACAGAUCAUAGAGCAAUGCUCCUGUUCCUGUUUUUAGUUUCAUAUAGAUGCACUGUGUGACUGCAUCCAUAACAGGAACAGCUGUGAUGCAUAGACAAGCAAGGAUGCGCUUUGUGAACUUUGGAAAUUAUUGUGUACUCUCACAUCAUGUACUGUACCACCCGCUAUGAGGAAAACAUGCAUAUUUCAGUACAUAUAAUAUAUUCAUAAUGCAUUUUGCAUGCUGUGUGCCACUGUCCUUUUUAGAAAGUGGAUUCUAAUGGACUGCACCAUUUAAAGAAAUAUGUCUGUAAUAAAAUUUGAACAGGAGUGUAGCAAAAACCAGUCAGACAAUAAAAGUUUAUCUAAAACACUGUGGACAUUUUAUUAUAUUUAAAUACAUAGUUAUUGCAAUAAUUUCUCUAGGUCAAAGGUUCCUAAUUAUUUUACAUUUCAUACAGAUACUCUGCAGUGUUUACAGUAGGAAAACUCUGUAAAUAUAUUUGUCUUAUUUAUAUACAUAUACAUAUAUAUAUAUAUAUAUCAUGGUAUAUUGAAAAAAUAAAUGAGCGUUACAAAGGAAAGGGUUAAAUAAGAGGUGAUGGUGACAGAACAGUGAACAACUUUUCCUUGGCCCUGCGGUCCAUGUUUUAUCUCCAUGACGAGUCUCGGGAUGUCAGGACUGCAAGACACAAAAAUAUAUGGGGAUGAUGAUCCCUUUGUAUUGAGGGAAAGAAAAAAAUAACACUUUUCAGCUAAGACACAACACGAGAGAUUUGGGUCAAUCAAGAUAUUCACAUAACCCUAUGAGAAACACAGAUAGACCCAAACCCAGUCACUGGGUUCAUUCCUGCUCCCACAAGGCUUGAGCACCAUGACUGUAGUUUUGCAGUCAGAUGAGUAUUAUUGAACACACGCAGUUUCAAGCUGUGUCUAUAACAAGCACUGGGAUGCAGUCUGUUUCCAAAGGAGAGAGAAUUGAUAUAACCCCAAAAAGAAAACCGCAUCACACAGCAGAAGGUAAAGAGAGUGCACACUUCAACACACGUCACUUUGACCUGUCAGCAAACAGACACAUACAAAGAUAAUAUAAUGAGAUGUUACGUGCUAAGACACAAUAAAUAUUGAUUUAAGGUGGUUUGCAGGAUCACUUAUGGAUGAUAGCUCCCAUUGUUUAUUUGAUUGAUGAUUGUUAUUGGAACCUACGUAUGUGAACUAAGCUGAUCCUAAAUCUACAGCACACUGAGGUAACAGUGCGAAUUGUGACAGGUCAAAUGUUAAGUGUGACGAAAGCAAAGGAACCAGGCGGAUUCAUUCCAGUGGAGGAAAAGAAAAGCAUCUUAACAAACCCUGGUCCUGUGGCACUACUUUUGAAAUGAAUCUCUUCUUUUAGCAUGGAGUUUGGCAAAAAUGGACUUGCGAGAGAUACAAGCUCACCAAAUACAAUUCACUGUCUCCAGAAAGAGAGCAGGAAGAUACCAUUUCUUUGCAGGCACACAGGGACCAAGGCUUCACAUGGGAAGAGAAUGGGACAGUGCAAUAUAUUUUGCAGAGCCCUCGUAAAAGGCUCUUGCUCUUUGGUCAAGCAUCACCAAAGUACAAGGCAUUGUAUAGAUACAUCCCUCUCAUAAAUAGUAUCCAUACAUAAAAGGCAAACUGAAAUUACAUUGGUGGCAUGUAUUUUCAUGUCAAGAGUAAAAAAACAAAACAAAAACAACAAACACAAUCAGAAUGCCUGCCACAGUAAUUCCCAGUGCGAUUGCUGUGUUACAUGGAAAUACUUUGAAAAGCAGCUGUUGAUAGUCGAUUAUUGACUCGAGGGUGGAAAGGCCACUCUGUUAUUACAGAGGAGGGGAAAAGGGUUAGCAGCAAAUCCCUAAAUGCAUUAAAGGAUAACAAAAGCAGCUACUGUUAGUACAGAAGCAUAUAGUAAGAUGCGGAGAACAAGGAGUAAGGGAAAUUGACAGAGUAAACAGACCCACAAAAGUUAAAGCAUACAGGAAUAUGUGACAAAUUGGAUGGACUUCUAAGAAUACUGUAAAAAGCUGAGGACAAGAAUCUGCAGAAGACUGAAAAUUAGCCAUAGAGGUCUUUAUGUCUUUAAAUGUAGAGCAGAGGAAAGCUGCUGGGAAGCAGCAGGGACAGCCACCAUAGGGAUGCUUCGACUACCCAACACCAUAAACGACAGCAGUAGCCCGAAACCCAAUCAAGCUGGGGUAGAAAAUAUGGCAGGGGUGAGGGGCUCUGGGACCAAGGGAUGGACAGAGCAGGGCAGGAGAGGAGCAGGGUUGUGGACUUGAGAAGCAGCGGGGUCUCACACAUACACACCCUCAGGGUUGAGGCUGGACACUAGAGGGUUUUGAAGGUUGCGUGGAUGUCCCAGGAACUGCUUUGCAGUAGGACGAGGUGGAGAUUCAAAUUGAAUUACACCCUGAUCUGAGUUAAAAGAAGAAAUAUCUUUAGAUGACACAAAUCAGGUAUACCAUAACAUAAUAUUAAUAUUUGAGGGAUUGUUUUGUUUCCUUACUUCCAUCCCUGUAUCCAUCCUGUAGAAAUUGCUCCAGUUGCUCCUGAAGCUCUGUGCGUGAGUUGGUUUGAACAGGCAGGACACCUGCCUGUUGAAUAAACUGCUGCAGGUUACACUGCCUCAGCUCCUUAUUCAGUUCCUCCAGCUCAUCCUGUUUGUCCUGAAAUGGGAAGAAUGUGGAUCAGUGAGAGAAAUCUAAGACAAGUAUUUUACCUGUAAAGGAAAGUGGGUGCAGCAUAUAAAACUAUUACACAUUUUCAAGUAUGGAUGCAUAUUUAAGGAUGUUUAGUAGUGGGUAUAUGUCCCGUCUGCACAAUUGCAGGGACAAUUUAUCACUGCAUUUAUGAAUGAACGUUUUUUGCUUUCACCACAAGGGGGCACUAGACUCUAAAAGUCUCCCUUCCAGUCACUGAUUAAGAUUACUGCCCAUCACGUCACCACUAGACAGUUUCAGUUGCAAUGAAUAAUCAAAUCACCACAAGUGCCAUGAGACUUUUUCUGAUUCAGUCAGAUUUAAGCAGCCUGAUGCAAACUUAUAAAUAGAUACAGGCCAAAGCUCAUUUGCUUUUUCCCUUUAAAUCUGUCUUCAGAUGCCUUCAGAUUACUGAAAAGCUGGUGUUCAAGAACAUUGUGAAGCAGUGGCAUCACCUUUAGGCUCGCAGACUGAACUCAGGUGCACACAAACAAGCCAAUAAGUGUGUGUCUCUGAGUAAUUGAUGUUGGACCACAACAUUCUGGUGAGGCAGUUCAUACCUGCAGGUCUUCCUCCAUUAGUCUGAUGGCAGGAACACUGUGCUCAUCACCACCAACACUUUAAAGACUCGGCUGGCUGCCUCAACCGAUCAGCUGACAUAGACCCUUUCCACUACUACGAAUGGAGGUUUAUUAUACCCUGUCAGGUUAAUAUUUCAUUUACAGGAAAUACUGGUUUCUCAUUCCCUCCAUACAAUUACUGUCUGGGUGGCAAAAUGCCUUUGGCGCUACUUUUGGAUUAUAAGCACUCACAGUGCUGUUGGUUACCUGUUAUGACCUGGUGUUUUUAUACAGCCAUGUACAAUCCCCCCCCCCCAAAAAAAAGAAACCUGACAUCUCUGUUCCGCAGCAAAAUGUUUCAUGACAAAUGCAUCCCCAUUAGCAUGAGUGACGAUAUAUUUUGAUAUUUAUUGUGGCCUACAGGACAAAGAGUGGGACACUCUGGGCUUUCAGUGCAUGAGGAUUUGAAAAACUGAACUAUCACUAUCAUAGAGGAAACACACGUUUCACUUCAAACUGAUGAAGCCACAUCUAAGACAACCAAAAGCAAACUGACUUUCUAAACUACAACACGCUGAGGCUGAGAAAUAGAUCCAAUAAAAGAGGCUUUUGUUCUACAAAUCAAAUCUUUUUAAUAUUUUUUUUAAAUCUAUAAACAAUACAAUAUGCAUAUAUAAGCCGACAUAAUAUAAACACAGUCAGUAACCACGUAUUUAGAAAGUGCGAUACAUAAAAGAUGAUACCUGCUAAACCAGUUAAGCUAGGUUGUAAAUAGCUCAUGACAAUGAAGCACUUUCAGACAUGGUAGAAUAUGAGCAUUCAGCAAUCAUAUUACUGCAGUUUCAUCAAUAUGCACCAGGCUUCGUGACGUACUGUUUAUUGGAGUGUAUAACAUGAAUACUGUUUUGAGUAAUACAAAAAAGGGUAUGGACUGCACCCCUGAAAUGACAACAGAAGGGCUUGUGUGGAUUUACAGCCCUUUUUCUAAAGCACAGACCUCUCUCCUUACCUGCAACAGAGACUCUGCUUUCUCCAGAGCCUUGUCAGUCUCAGAUAGCUGUUCCUCUAGCUCUGUCCCAUGUCUCUCUUGACUUUGUAACUCUUCCCUUACAGCGUCAAACGACUCCUCAGGUCCUGUGGCUUUCCCUUGUGUCUGGGUUUCCCGCUGGAUCUCUUCCUCCAGCUGAGCAGAGCGAACUGAGAAUUCAUGGAGCCGCCGUCCACAGUCAUCUAGCUUUGUAUGGAGCUCUCCAAGCUUCCUUCGCAUUCCUCGCUCGCUUUCUACCUCGGCUUUUAGCUCCUCCUCCCAGUACUGCUCAUGUGCAAGCUCUGCUUGGUUCCUUCGCAUUGCUUGCUCCAAAGCGUCCAUCUCGUCUUGCAAACGAGCAUCAGAAACAGGUGAGGGACAUGGAGAUGGGUAGGGACGCUCCCAGGUGUGUGACUCCCUCUCUAGGGCUUCUAACUGGGCCUCAAUGGCUCUUAGUCUCUCCUGUUGCUGAAGAACUUUCCUGAAUACUUCAUCUUUUGAAGGGCCUAUAGGUAGUGAGGGAGAAGGGGAUGACAUAUGAUGGGACAGAGGGCUGGAUGAAGGAGAGGGGGAGGCUCUUUGUUCUGGAGAGUCCCGUGGAGACCUCUUAAAUUGUUUGGCCUUGGUCUUAGGAGAGGUGGAAGGCCCCAAGUUAAAGGUCAGGGCUUUUUUAGGCUGGCUACGUUUCAAAGGCUCUGGUUCAGGAUGCUUAGGCAAUGGAAGGGGAUUAGGUCUCUCUUGUUUUGAGCCAGGUCCAUCACUGCUGCUGGGGCCAGUGCGACGUAGAAAGAACUGAACUUCAUUGCCAUGUUGGCCCAACUUUGCGAGAGACUCCAGAGGCCUCUCUGUGGCCAGCAGCUGCCUUUCUGUGUCCCUUAGACGCUGAAUAAGAACAUAACGGCCUGUCUGACCUGUGACAAAGACAGAAAAAAUAAAGAGUGACUAUAAAAAACCUACCCUAAAUAUUUCCAUACAAAGAAGUAGCACACCAAUAUUUUUAUUCCUAAAAAAUGAUAUACAUCAGUCAAAUUUUUUGUAUCCUUAGUUGCUUCUCUCUUUUAUUUUUAAUAAAACUGUGGGGUUAUGUCCUCGUACCAAUUCUAAAUAAUGAACAAAUGACAUCAGAUGCAUUAUGACGAUGCUGAUACGUCUAAAUCUCUGCCUCUGUGGACUGGAAUAAAAGGCAGCUGCGUAAGAGCCACACAACAUGUGAAAAAUGUUCAAAUAAACUGAAGUUUCCACAAGGACCUUGAAAUUAGGACAAACCCUCCCUAAUGACUUGGCAAGCAGCUUGCUCAUAGAAGGAGGAGAGCGCUAAAACUGGAGUUCUGUUCAAUCCUACCGCAGCGUAUAGCUCAAAUAAAGCCGGAGGAUAUAGGGACAGAGUGCCGGCUCAAAUUCAAACUGACCUGCUGACAAUCCAGCAGCGUACUUGAUUUGGGUCAGCGGAGAGCAAAAAGGUUAAUAAAGAACAGGAUGAGGGCAAUUCUGCGAUGCUUCAGUACACUUGUUUGUGUAUGCAUAAAAAUCUAAAUGCCAAGCUUUUAUCUAAGCAGGCUUAAAGAUAAGCUGGUGUCAUGAAAUGAUGACAACGUUUGAGGUACUUACCAAUGGCCUGUGCUAGAGCAAUGACCACAUCCUGACAGGAAGUCUCCUCGGACAGACCGCAGACAACCCGCACUACUCCAUCCACCCACACUUUGAGCUCCAUCUGGGACUGAUAGGGUAGGGUGAAGGGUAAGAAAGUCUUCAGAGCAGAUCAGUUCAGCUUGGCUUUCCUCAGCUUACCACUGCAUGGCACUAACUCUGUGAAAAAAAAAAUUAAACCGCAGAGAAGAAAGUAAGAGGUGUGCUACUGUAACAAAGUUUCCUCAAAGUAACAAGAAUACCCAGCAAACAAAAACGUGAGCUCAAUGUGCUUAUGUAAUCCAACACCAACAUAUGGGACACAACUUGUUGAUAACCUAAACAUGAUGCAUCGAAACGUUGAUGUACAGUACAUAUUGCCCUCACUUACUGUACGUUUUGUAGAAAUACCAGUUUAUACAACAAACAGCACUGACAUCCAAAAUCUGCUGUGCUGAGACAUGGAUCAUGGAAUUAGAAAAGACUGGCAGCUGAUGGGUACAGCAUUGUGGCGUUUUAUUAAGUUCCCAGUGGUUAGUUAAAAGCCCGGCAGUAUCGUGUGGACCUGGGAGCAUAAAUGCCAAUCUGUAACCCAAUUAAACGCUCUGCUGCCCUCCUUCAAAGCCGUUAUGAUAGCUUAGUGCCGAGGGGAACAGACAGGGAAAGUGGAGCAACUCAAGUGUGUCUAUGUUUUGAAGAGGGUGUUUGGGAGAGUACGAAACAUAGCAGGAGAGAUGGAACAAAUAUGUGUACGUGUGUUCAGUUUGACGGGCCUCAGCAGGACCACAAGUAGGUUUCAUCAGACUUCCACAGUUGAUCAGCGGGUAGUCUAAAACACGUCCAGGCAGCCGGUUUAACCUAAAGAAAUUUCAUUAUGUGCAGUCCUGCUGUCAGUCUGUACUUUUACAGCUACACUUCAAAACAAGGUAAUAAAACACUGUCGUACACAUAAAAAGGCCUCAGGCAGAGUUAUCUGUAAGGACUUGGCACAGCAAGUGUAGCCUAGGUGGGUAAAAGGCAACUCUUUACCAAACAGUGUGACAGAUGGUGUUCUCUUUCUGUCUGUCUCUCUGGUUUUCAAUGGGAGGUGUUUAAAACUGAGCCCCAGCAUUCACCAUGGCCUUCCUUCAAUGCUCCACUGACUAUUGGGAGCUGCUCUGGAGGAAUGCACUGACUUCAUCUUCCAGCCAGAAGAAUUCCUGUUUUUCGUAACAAAGACCUCGCCCCACCCUUCCUCUGACCUGCCUGGUCCACACCACCAUUACUUCUGCGCUGUUUAGAUGCCAAACAAGAACUCUGCUCCCCGGCAAAUACAAAUACAGGCCAUUUACCAUUUGUUUGGCAUCCAAACCGCAUCACAGACCCGAUGGAUGUGGCAACAGCAUCCCAGAAUGUGGCACCAAAACACAUAGCUUAGAGAUUGAUCACAUACAAUGAGAUCAUAGGAAAUAAAGCGGGAGAUAGUGAUGGAUGAUCACAUGAGGUAAAAAUUAUUUUGAAUGAAACGUGUAUGAUGAUUUCAUCUGGAAUGAAACCUGAUAUGAAAAAGGGAGUGCUUAUCAAACUCCAACGCCAGAAAUGUCAACGCAAGCAAAGAUGUCAACGCUCUUCUUUGAGUGGGCACACGGUGUGCUAUGUUGUAAUGCACAAUCAAGCUUAACAGGUUGACAGAAUGUGUAGACAAUCGUUUAUUUUAGCUCUGAGGCUUUUUAUGAACACAUACAUAUGAACUUGAAGAAACAUUCAUUUUCAAGCAUGGGAAUGAAAACUAAAGGCUGGAAACCAAACUUUAAUUUAUAGGAAGGCACCAUCAUGGAUCGGAAACAACCCUGAGAGAAACAGAAACUGAGCUAAAGGAGAGGUUGAGCUCUUGACAUUAAGGCUUAUUCUGCAACUUCUUUGCAGCACCUCAUCUAAAACUUCCUACAUUAGACAUCCAAGAUUUUUAUGCACCAUAACAAUCAGAUUAAAUGAGAAUACAAACACAGAAACAUCUCCCAGCACAGAAUGUCACUCUCCCAUGAUAUUUAGUUCUUCUACCUCCUGGCUAGUGAAAUGUGAUAAACUAACAGGAAACAAACGGGCCUGUUAGUCUCAGGUUGCUGUCUAUUCUUUUUGUCAAAGGCAGAGCAACACUGACAACCAGACAUCCGCCUGACCCAGCUCAUUUUCUCAGAACAGCUCUGGAGUCCUGUGUCAGUUCUCGUGGAAAAACAGGAGGAGGAGAACCAAAGGUACCAUAAAAAACAUGGACUAAAAUCACUACAGAUAAAGAGUGGGAAUACACUGAAAAUAUAACACAUAAAUAUGCAAAUGCUACGGACAAACACCAGCUGCAGUUUGCUGUGCACAUGUUAUGAGCCUCUAAACAUGCUAGAGCCUGAUUUUAGCCUAUUACAGAUAUCAGCUGCCUUAUAUAUUGCCUGACAUAUGCAUCUUAUGUGUGUCUUGUAGAACAGAGUCCAGUUGGCAAUAGUUAUUCAGGCAGUAAAUCCACUGUUUCCAAUAAUCUCAGGACUGUCUGGCAGCACAUGCAGCAGAGUAGCAUUCACAGCUGAGCAGAUGGUGGUGUGAAGGCAAUCACUCAGAGUCAUCCUUCAUUUAUUUUACUUUGUGAGCUUUAUUACUUCACUAUUAUACCUAAUAAGGCAGAAAGGACAACAAAAGCUUGUAAAUCAGCAGGAAUAAAAGACAACGAAAACAUAAAUAAUUAAGCUUAAAUGUACUCAACAUUCUCCAACACUUCACUUGGCAAACUAUCAAGGUUAAUGAAUCCGCGUGACUCAUUCUAAAUGUAGGAAGUGACUCUCCUGUUGUGUAGUUGCUGCAGCAACAGAAAAGUAAAUGUUUUUAGUGUUACGAAUCAGUUUUGGCCCCACAUGGGAAUUAAAUUCCAACCGUACACCUUAAACUCACAUUGACCCACCCUAUCCAAUUCUAAUGGAAAAAAAUAUAUAAUACACCACCACAUACCCAACUUUACUUUACCCAUGACAAAAAACUGGUUGCAAUUUUCACUGAAACUCUGACCAGUCACAAAUCCCCUGAAGAGAAAUAAACAGUAAUCAAUAAUCUCUGACUCCAAGCUCAGAUAAGAACACACUCACAAAAGAGCCACUUGAGGAGCUCAUCUGGUGAAUUUCACAAGGAAUACACAUAAGUCAUUUUUAUAUAAAUGAAAGAUAAAAAAAGACAGUGACAGUGCAUAAAUGAGAAAGCCAACGAAUAUGUAAGAAAAAAUGCUGACAGUUUUUAAAAAAAAGAGAGUGGUAGAGAAAAUGUGCCACCCUUAUUAUCACUCAUCCAUCUAGCAAACCUGCUUUGUGUCUUUCAUCACCCUGUCUAUGCCUCUGUUUGUAUCUCUUCAAUACAGGUCUCCCAUCUGCUUUGUAAAUUUGACUAAAAGAAAAAGUGGCUUUUAUCACAGCACUGCAAAUACACAAGGCUUGAUCUGUCUCAAGCUGUGAACUGAUGGGAACUUAAAGCCUAGAUUAUACUUGGUUGCAUAUACGGACAGCGGGAGACCAGAAGACCGAGUUAGCCACUCCUGUUAUACUUCUUUGAAGUCCGCUUGAAAUUUGCUGCCUGGACGCAUGCGUAGUUGGUGCAUUGUAAUGUAAAUUCUCCACAAACGAGUCCACGCUGUCAAUGGACCACCUUGGUCGUGGUCCGAUGACGACAUUUACGUCACAAGGACCCAAAAAAACCCCCCUAAAGUUCAAACAUUUGAGGCUGCUCAGACAGGAAUCAAGUGUUUUGAAAGACACCCAAUCUCCAAAUCCCCUUUUUUCCUACAUACAUAUAAACACACAAGACAUGUAAAGACAUAAAAGCUGACACUCAAGCACAAUGCACUUGGUUUGAUGCAGCUGGGCAGACACACCUUAACCUUCAAUUUCCUUUCUAAAGGUCUGAACAAGUCAUUUCUGUUAGUCAUACACAAUAUUAGGAAACCUGCGGAAACAAAAGCUUUGCAGAAAAAUUCCAAGCAGGGUUAAUAAUGUACUAGAGCUCCUAAAUGCUCGAGGCUACGUGUGGCUGUGUAAUAUGAAUGUGAGUGUGUGUGCAGGGGCAGUACACAACCCUGUGUCAUGCACAUGCAGUGGUCAAAGGUUGGGAAUGCAUGCCUGUAUAUGUUUGGGAGUUCACAAAAAGAAGACAGACCGUGUAGGCUUAUCUUUAUAAGAAUCUGCUCCAGCUCUGAGUAAGGGCAGCAACACGAGUCUGAGGAACAAUGGCAGGAGUAAAGGGCAGAGUUUACAUCGCAUUUGUCAAUGGAUCGUAGCAACAAAUGCAUGCAAACAUUUAUCCCUAUCAGUAUACGCAGGGGAAAUAAGACCCUGUCCCACGCUGCUUUACAUGUAUAUAAUAGGAUAAAUAUUGUUGUUAAAGGACAAUUAAGAGUACUGGGAGAAGCUAGGCCCUCAGUGCCACUCUGUUCCAGGUUGGCAAAGACAAACACUCAAAGAGACAGAAACACGCUGGCACAGAACAGCCUGGUCUCAUCUAAACUGCAGAGAGACUAUUGUUGCUCUGGUUCUACACUCAGCAGACAAUGCUGUCUCUUUUGUGGCCUCUGGCAUCGCUGAGUCGUCUGACACACCAGCUUUUACUGCCAUUCUGGAGUGUUACCACAGAUAAGCACUGUUACCACCAAUAAAAUGGAAUACAGAUAUUUUAUUUCAUUCUGCCUGGCUUCCUUGUUUCGCAUUCUUUGUCACACCUCCUCCUAUUUCAUUUUUCAGUAUCUACUACGUCAGCACAGGUUAUGUUGCACAGAAAGAUGAGAACAAAAGGUUCCAUGACACAAUCAGUUGAGAACAGCACUAAAAUUGUUCACAGUGGCAGAAAAGUGUUCUUUAGCCUCAGCAAAUAGAACUGGUUUUACAUGUUGAAAUCUCAAUUGUCUUGCACACUGGCUGCAAAAGAGUUGCAACGGAUACAAAGUAAAAAAUGGAAAUGUUCUUAAUUUACACAUUAAACUGUUCAUGUAUUCACUGAUAAGGCCAAUGAUAGGUCAUAUCUGAACAGGAGAACUAUGACGGAAAAAGCAACUGAAUUUAAAGA